GAUGUCUGCGAGGAAGCCCGUGCAAGCCGCGACUGGAAAGCCGGCGCAGAAAGGGCUCUGCUUUCAUCCUCCAGCCCAGAUUUUCCAAAAUCUGGAACGCCCUCUUUGCUCCGUGCCCGCGGUGAGGAAUUCGGGCUCGGGCUGCUUGAGCGUUUGCCUCGCUCCCCCAGUGAUGCUGGCUGCUCUCGCUGCUGCCAGCUCGGCUUCUCAGCCGUGAUGUUUCCGCCAAGGCGACCGCCUGAGUGGCUGAUUGGGGAAAACGAGGAUGCAGCCGAAAAAGCCGUGAGCAGACAGCGUGGUGUCCGCAAACUGCUGCCCCAGAAAAAUCCACCAGCGAGCAUGAGAUGACUCAUCCCGGCUGCUGGGGAAGCUGCGCGCUUGUAACCUCGGUCCUUAGCUGCUGCGCCGAGCCCGCCCGUGCCAGGCAGCAGGGCUUCGCGGCUGCAGCUCGCUCUGCCUCCCCAAAAUGAGCCUGGCUUCAUGCAGGACAAGUCGCUCCCUGCGCAAGCCCACAUCUCCCAGGGACGCCGUGGUCUCUGGCCGGUGCCGGCCCCACCGGAGCAUCUUCUUCCUGCAGCACGGCCGGUGUGUGCGCGCGGGGUGGACGAUGGUGUGGGUGCAAGGCCCUCUUUCCGAGGUUUUCACUGCUUCUUCAAGAGGACGUUCAUUUUUUGAAGAUCUGUCUCUGCCCCUGUGCAUAGUGCUGAUCCUGGCUACCUCAGCCACAGGCCCCAGCUGAACAGAGAGCUGGACUCCUUCCAAAAUAGCUGUCGUUUGGUUUCUCUUAUGACGUUGAUCUUAGUUUCUCAAGAGGCUGAAUUCCUGCCAGCGUGGGCAAGCACUGCCGAGAUAACCCCGUCCCUAUAAAACGCAAGGUGAGCUCCUGCUAACCAGAGAGACUCUUGUAAACACCAGAACAAGGGACUUGGCACAAGGCAGACAUGAAAACAAACUUUGGCUUUCACUUCAAAAGCCUCAUAGUUUAAAAAGCAGUUAUGAUGCAAGUGUGUAUGUAUGUGUGUGUGUACGGCAGCGGCGGUUCCUGUCGGAGGGAGGGGAUGUGCUGGCCGUCCCACAGAGGCAUUCGCGGGCGGCUUGGCAACUUCGUUAUGAAUUAGUGGAUGCAAGCCCAGGGAAAAGUGCAUCCUGCUCCCAGUGCUGCGCUCGAAUCCUGCCUCCUCCGGUGGGAACGGAGCUGGCCAAAGGGCUGCCUGGCACAGCGGUACGGGGGGAGAAAGAAAACAUCCUGCUUUGUUUUCUCUCUGUACUGCAGUAUCUGCUUUGUUCGCUGGGCCUGGCCACUGAAAGUCCAGCGGUGGCAGGGCAGAAAUGUGCAGCGUCGGCUCUGCUGGGACACGGUGCAGUCAGGAUGAGUAACCAGGCUGAAGCUGUGCCGAGAAAAGCUCUCAUCCCAAAUGUAAAAAGCAGCCCUUUUCCCAUCGCUGCAGUUUCCUAACAAAUUUGUAUAUGCAGGGCAGACUGCAGGACUAGCUGCAGCUUGUAUCCCCUGGCCUGAAAUGCUCUGAAUAACUGGCCCUUUCUUACUAAGAAAGAAACAAUAACUUUGGGCUGUUUUGUUUUCCUGACACGCUGAUCCCAGUGAACCGUGUGUUUCCGGGUGCGAGCUCAUCUUACAGCAGACCCCGGGUCGCAGAAACUCCUAAUCCCUUUACAUCGUGCCGGGUUGGGGACAGUCACACGCCUGCUACAGCCCAGGGGACAAGAGAAGCCGGACAGCCAGCCGGCCUCCGGCAGCAGCUCUGCCCGAGAGGUCCCUCUGCGCCCUGCAGCUCGGCCAGGAGCUCACGUGCUGGCAUCUGCGCUUUCGGAAGUCGGAGAGAUUUUCCUGGAAGCAGGCGCCCAGGACGUCAGGUGCACUUGUUCGUGUAAGGGCAAGGUGAGGCCUGGAGAAAGGCAGCAUCUUUUACUAGACCGACUCACAAAUCUGGAGGCCAAGCUUGCAGCAGGCACUUUGUGUGCAUGUGCAGCUCUUCCCUGCAGCUCAGCUCUCUGAUUGCAGACAAGAUUGGUUCAGGUCUCUCCGGAGAAAUCCUUUUCUGGGAAUUGCAGCCUCAGGAUUGCCCUAUCCACCCGGACAGAGGUCACCAGCUCUGCAACAGGAGGUAGGUUAAACCACAAACUCUUGGAAGGGAACUGCAGGGAAAGACCCUCCGCUCCCCCGCGGCGCCCUGGAGCUUUGCUCUGAGCAGAGGUUUCGGCUGCUGGGACACGGCUGCCUGGGCGAGGACAUGGAGUAUCGUGGACAGCUCGGAAGAGACCACGUACCGACUUCACCAUGUCCAGCGUUACAUCUCUAGGCAUUUGUUGGGGUAAAGGAGGUGAGAAAACCUUCUGAGGUGGUCACAGCCUUGUCCUCCAAGCAGGAGCGGGCGAGGUGCAGAGCAUUCAGAGCAAGAUAUUCCCCUCGCACUGGUAGCUGGCAGGAAGGACACAAGUUUUUCCUAUUAUAGCUCAGUCAUGGGACUAAUAAAGCCUCUUUAAUCAUUUUCGUUGCUUGUGCACACACACGCACACAAGGGCGUGCUCUGAGCUAAAGUGCAGAGGGAGCCAACACCUGGCAAAGUCAUCACUGGCCACUUCAAUUCAUUUCUAAUCUGGCAUUUGAAAAAAAAUACAAACCGCCACCAAUAAAACAACUCGGCCCACGUGGUAGGAAAACUUCACAGGCUCCGAUGGACGUGUGCAGGGCUCGGCCACUGCCGGCAGAUCACAGCCGCCCUCUCCCAAGAUGAGCUGCUGCCGCCCAGGGCGCCCAGCUCCCACCCGCGGAAGCCCAGCGGAGCUUGUUUUCUCGCCUGGAUCAGAAAGCCUGAGGCCAUCAGCAGGGUUCGAACCCCCCCAGCCCUGCUGUGGGCUGGCAGGUGGAGCUCCAUGCCUCACUACCCGUUCUCCCAAAUUCCCCCAAAUUGUCCCUGCAGAAGUUAGAGAUUUUGCGGCAGUCGUUGCAGGGGGAGAGGGUGUCCCAGCUGCCGACAGCCUUUGCGUGCAAAGACGUUUGCAAACCGCAGGAAUGGCUGUGUUGGCAAGGAAGCACCUCCUGCUUGUCUCCUUAAAUGUCCUCCCACAGGUUCAGACAAAUGGGCCAUAAAGCAAGCGUGGCCCACGGCAGCCGUCAGCACGGACAUCGGGCCGCCCCGCUUCGCCCCCGCUCAGCUUCAGCUCCUCUGGGAGAAAAACACCCCGUCUCAGCUUAGAUAUUUCUGAUGGACCGAGUGUUUAUUACCUCCUUUCCAGGCUGAAGCUGUGUCCCUUUGAUACCUGCCCAUCGGAUCUUAUCCUACUUCUGCCUGUCAGACUGGAUAACUCUUUCACUUACACUCCCUGUACAAAGGCUGGGGAAAGACUUUAGGGAUUUUCCCACUAAAAUAAGGCUGAAAACCAUGUUUCUGCCAUGGCUUUCACAUUCUCUGCUUGCCAAGACAGGGAGAGCCUCCCAUCCUAUAAAUACUGCCUUCCCGUUUCAUUCCUAGACACAGGGCUCUUUAUGCGGUUGUACUGAAAAACGCAUUUUUGGCCUACAUUCAGCUGAGUGAUCUGACUUACUUUAUAACAUCCAUUUACAAAUGUUUUCAAAAGGAUUUUGUUGUUUUCACUGAACAGGUAAAAUUGGGGAGGCUCAAGAACCAGUUCUGGUGCAGCCCCCCUGGAAAGGCGAGUGCAUGACAGCAGUUCCUCACUUACAGCUGCAUUUCCAAGCCCAUAACCAGCUAGAUUUGAUCCCAUAUCAGGUGGGCCUUCGAGUUUUUGCAUCAUUAGCAUUUAUCAGUCUAAGCAACAGAUUCCACUCCACCUUCGUUUGUACCAUGGCCACAGGCCAAGUCAAACCACACUACCGGGCCUAUUACAUUGACAGUAUCAUCUUUAUCACCCCAAAUUCUAACCCCACUGAAAUGGAGAAGUUAUUUAGCAGAGGUCUAUUUUCACCAUCUUCUGGGACUGGCAUUAAUUACCCUCCUCCUUUAAUUAACUACAAGUUGCUUUGUACAAAAGCUGUUUCAGUAUUUCAGCUGUGAUGGAUGUUAGGCUGGCAGCCUUCGAAUUACCCGAGGGGCCUUAUUGGCCUUUUUGAAAUACUGGCUUCUUUCUAAACCUCCUCCCGGCCUGUGACACAGGAGGAGGUUUUGAGGCAGGGAGGCCAAAACGCCCACCCUGCCUUUCGCGGCCCAGCUCCACACACAUGCACGAAGGGGACGGGGCAUCGGUCAUCGCUGGUCUGACCUACUCCAGGCACGUUUCCCUGCGAGCGGACCCAGAGGGGUGCUGCGGUUUUGUGGUGUGGAUAGACAUCUCCCGGCGUCUACCCUGGAUUCCUCCAAUUCCCUUCCUUCGUGAGCGGAGCAAGGAUUUGAGCUCAGGCCUUCCCAAGUGCUGCUCUCGAGCGUUAAUCCAGCGGGGUGCCUUUGUUUCCAUGACCCUGCUUCCACUCUCAGCAAUAGACUCCACUCCAGCCUCAUGAACUAUUCCAGAUGUUUUGGAAACCCCCUUGCUAUUUGGUAAAAGCUCCAGAAAAAAAAGAAUUCCUUCCAGCAGCCAGAUAUAAAGGAGGAGGGGGAGGAAAGGAGAGGAUGUGAAGAGCAGAGCCAGAGCCUGGUAACCUCUCCCUAGGCUACGAUUUGUAUCGAGCAGAAAACUGGAUUGAUGAAGUGCUCAGGCAGAUUAGAGGUACCAGAAGGCUCUCUGAGGUGUGGGCUCAAACGCUCCCUCCCCAUCCAUGGGAGCUUCGCCUCCGACUGCAGUAGAUGAGCAUUUCCCUCCUCGCCUGCUUUCAGGGCAGUGCUGUCACCGUGGAGUUGGAAAAUCAGCAGUUUGUCACGGUGGGAACAUGGAAGAUGGGUUGAGGCAGAAGCAGCAUGUUCCUCACCUCUGCACCUCCUUCACUGGCAGUGGAAUAGAGUCAGUGGUGGAGAUCGCAGAUCUGUUCUCAGCACCUGAACAUGCUGUGAUGUCUCUUGAGCUGGUGCCAAGAUGCAGACAGGGCUUCAACCCUGCAUCAGAGAUCAGCCCUACGAGCAGGAGAAUUUCAAUUAGGAUAUAGACGGGUCUGGUCUGAACCCUUCCUGGAUUAAACUCUUUUCCUGCAUGUGGGCAUCCUUCUGCACCGCGCUCCUGGUGCCAGUUUAUAUCGCUUCCUCUUACUGAAAUCUCACACAAAUAACUGCUCGGUUUACAAAGCAUCCCUCGCAUCCCCAGCUGAAAUUCUCACGCUCUGCUCAGCUAUAUCUGUAACUAUAUAUAAUUAAAUUAUAUAUAAAUACAACACCAGAAAUAAAGAAGGAUUGAAUCACCACCCUGGAUUCAAACUCCACCCAAGUCAAGAGACAUUGGAAGCUGGACCUGCCUCCAGACUUUGUGGCUGGAGCCCAUCUGUAACUGUAAAAGCCAAUAUGAAAAUAAAGAAGAAACCAAAUAGCAUGGCAUCUUCUUGCUUUGACCACAGCCUCCCUGGGGCAAGGGCUGACUUCUUCUUCUUCUCAAAAAGAACAAUUUCACUGUCUGCAAAUUAGGACCUGGAGCGGGAACUGGGGUCAGGCCUGUGCCUUUGUGGAAAGGGGCAGAGAGGACCAGAGCUCCCAGGAGAAUAUUUGGGCUUGUUUCAUCUGGACGAGUGGGGAGCAGGAAGGGCAGCAACAAAUGCGGCUACAGGGAAGGUUAUACUUCCCCUUCUUCAUUCCCCAGCUCCACCACACGCCCUCAUGUCUCCCCCAGCUUUGCUAUCCCAGAAAUCUGGUGCCAUCAGCAGUCAUCUCCUUGGCUUCCCCUGGUCCAGCCCUGUGCUCCGGGAUGCUACCAUGAGGCAACUAUUCCUGGUAGUGAGCCCUACACUGCAGCAUGUUUAAGGGGUCCUGGGAGGGAUGGGAUGAGAGGACCUAGGCCAAGGAUUUAGGCAUUUGGCCAAGAAAACCUUCCAGAUCCUAGGCAGGUCAGGGAAUGAGAUGGGUUGGGGUUUAGUAGGCCGUCUGGUCCUUUUAUGCUGAAGAGAGGUCUAUCCUUGCCGUUGGAUGCAAGACGUUGAAAUUCAGUAACUCGAAGUUGCAUCUCUCAGUUUGAGCUCUCCUGGUCACAUCAGGAAACAAAUGCAUUUGGUUCUCUAAAUGGGA